GUGGGGAAUUUUGGACAAUGGGCGCAAGCCUGAUCCAGCAAUGCCGCGUGCAGGAAGAAGGCCUUCGGGUUGUAAACUGCUUUUGUACGGAACGAAACGGUCCGGGUUAAUACCCUGGGCUAAUGACGGUACCGUAAGAAUAAGCACCGGCUAACUACGUGCCAGCAGCCGCGGUAAUACGUAGGGUGCAAGCGUUAAUCGGAAUUACUGGGCGUAAAGCGUGCGCAGGCGGUUUUGUAAGACAGGCGUGAAAUCCCCGGGCUCAACCUGGGAAUUGCGCUUGUGACUGCAAGGCUGGAGUGCGGCAGAGGGGGAUGGAAUUCCGCGUGUAGCAGUGAAAUGCGUAGAUAUGCGGAGGAACACCGAUGGCGAAGGCAAUCCCCUGGACCUGUACUGACGCUCAUGCACGAAAGCGUGGGGAGCAAACAGGAUUAGAAACCCCAGUGUCC
rnacentral:rRNA from 1 species